CAGUAGCCGCGGUAAUACGAAGGGUGCAAGCGUUAAUCGGAAUUACUGGGCGUAAAGCGUGCGCAGGCGGUUGUGUAAGACAGGUGUGAAAUCCCCGGGCUUAACCUGGGAACUGCGCUUGUGACUGCACAGCUAGAGUAUGGCAGAGGGGGGUGGAAUUCCACGUGUAGCAGUGAAAUGCGUAGAGAUGUGGAGGAACACCGAUGGCGAAGGCAGCCCCCUGGGCCAAUACUGACGCUCAUGCACGAAAGCGUGGGGAGCAAACAGGAUUAGAUACCCCUGUAGUCCCUGUCUCUUAUAC
rnacentral:rRNA from 1 species